rnacentral:rRNA from 1 species
UACGUAGGGUGCGAGCGUUAAUCGGAAUUACUGGGCGUAAAGCGUGCGCAGGCGGUUCUAUAAGACAGAGGUGAAAUCCCCGGGCUCAACCUGGGAACUGCCUUUGUGACUGUAGAGCUCGAGUACGGCAGAGGGGGAUGGAAUUCCGCGUGUAGCAGUGAAAUGCGUAGAUAUGCGGAGGAACACCGAUGGCGAAGGCAGUCCCCUGGGCCUGUACUGACGCUCAUGCACGAAAGCGUGGGGAGCAAACAGG